rnacentral:misc_RNA from 1 species
GAUGAGAACGUAGCGAAAUGCGAUAAGUAAUGUGAAUUGCAGAAUUCAGUGAAUCAUCGAAUCUUUGAACGCACAUUGCGCCCGCUGGUAUUCCGGCGGGCAUGCCUGUUCGAGCGUCAUUUCAACCCUCAAGCCCCCGGGUUUGGUGUUGGGGAUCGGCUCUGCCCUUCUGGGCGGUGCCGCCCCCGAAAUACAUUGGCGGUCUCGCUGCAGCCUCCAUUGCGUAGUAGCUAACACCUCGCAACUGGAACGCGGCGCGGCCAUGCCGUAAAACCCCAACUUCUGAAUGUUGACCUCGGAUCAGGUAGGAAUACCCGCUGAACUUAAGCAUAUCAAUAAGCGGAGGA